rnacentral:rRNA from 1 species
CCCUUAGAUGUUCUGGGCCGCACGCGUGCUACACUGAUGCAUUCAACGAGUCUAAAACCUGGUCUGAUAGGGCUGAGUAAUCUUUUGAAAGUGCAUCGUGAUUGGGAUAGAUGAUUGCAAUUCUUCAUCUUCAACGAGGAAUGCCUAGUAAACGCAAGUCAUCAGCUUGCAUUGAUUACGUCCCUGCCCUUUGUACACACCGCCCGUCGCUCCUACCGAUUGAAUGAUCCGAUGAAUACCAUGGAUUGAGAGUACGAAUAGGUUCGCUUAUUUCUGCUGCUCGAGAAGUGGAGUAAAUCUUAUCAUUUAGAGGAAGGAGAAGUCGUAACA